GAUCGUGUAGCUUAUUGGUAGAGCGCAGGGCUCAUUGCCCUGAGAAACUGGUUCGAUUCCAGUCGAGAUCA